rnacentral:rRNA from 1 species
GACGAACGCUGGCGGCGUGCUUAACACAUGCAAGUCGAACGGUGAUGCUCCAGCUUGCUGGAGUGGAUCAGUGGCGAACGGGUGAGUAACACGUGAGCAACCUGCCCCAGACUCUGGAAUAAGCGCUGGAAACGGCGUCUAAUACUGGAUACGAAACUGGCCCGCAUGGGCAUGGUUUGGAAAGUUUUUCGGUUUGGGAUGGGCUCGCGGCCUAUCAGCUUGUUGGUGAGGUAAUGGCUCACCAAGGCGACGACGGUUAGCCGGCCUGAGAGGGCGACCGGCCACACUGGGACUGAGACACGGCCCAGACUCCUACGGGAGGCAGCAGUGGGGAAUAUUGCACAAUGGGCGGAAGCCUGAUGCAGCGACGCCGCGUGAGGGAUGACGGCCUUCGGGUUGUAAACCUCUUUCAGCAGGGAAGAAGCGAAAGUGACGGUAACUGCAGAAGAAGCACCGGCUAACUACGUG